AAACCAAUCCAGCCUCGUGCUUGGGUCUUGGGCCUUUCGCCUCUGGGCGGGCCUCAAAAUCAGUGGCGGUGCCUUCUGGCUCUAAGCGUAGUAAUACUUCUCGCUAUAGACGUUAGGGUGGUAUCUUGCCAAUAACCCCCAAUUUUUUAA
rnacentral:misc_RNA from 1 species